rnacentral:lncRNA from 1 species
UUUUAGGUAGAUUUGGCAAAUCCUCCAGAUCUGGGUCUGUCUCAGCUAAGCUGGUGGGCUACUCGGCAUUCACUGUUAGACCGUCCCCUCCCAGGUGCUUAGACAGUGCUUUGCGCCCAGUAAGCGCUCAAUAAAUACGACUGACUGCCUGCCUGCCUUCCUUCACCCCGGCCGAAGACCGCGAGCCCCGACUUUCGUCCAACUCCUCGGGACUCCAAGACCGUUCUCUCUUCUCUCUCCGCGGCCAGUUCCACGUACUUCAGCCGACUGGGAUCCACCCUCCCAUCCGUGAGGACCACCAACGUUCCCGCUCAGAAAUUCCUUAAUGGAGAUCGAUCGUGUCCCACGUGAGAAGGAACCCCACAAAAACGGGACAUUUUUCUGUCCCUCGACCGACUCGCGGAACAUCCAAGGAGAUUUCCGGUCAUCCCCGGCACGAGACGGGCCGAACCUCCAUCCCACGUCUCCCAAUCUGUUUGAGCCCGGACUGUCUGUUGAUCGCGGUAAGAAUGAUUGUCGUGUUUUUCAAGUGCUUACUAUACGCCGGGCACCGUACCGAGUGCCGGGGUGGAUGCAGGCAGAUUGGUCGGGACACAGACCCUGUCCCCCGUUGGGCUCACGGUCUCAAUCCCCAUUUUACAGAUAAGGUACCUGAGGCACGGAGUAGUGAAGUGACUUGAUCAAGGUCACGCAGCAGACAAGAGGCAGAGCCAGGAUUAGAACCAACCAACUCCUAAGUCCCAGGCCCGUGCUCGAUCCACUAUGCCGCGCAUGCCGAUCGUGAGGGGGGCAGAGAGGCGAUCGGGGAGCCACGACCAAACUCCCCUCCAUAUCAGGGGCGGCCGAGGGAGAGCGGCCUCGCGGUCGAUCCGACUCUGUCCCCUUUCCUGAGAGGCAGCAUGACCUGGUGGAAGAGCACGGGCCUGGGAGUCGGAAGACCCGGGUUCUGCUCCCAAAUCUGUCACCCGCCCGCUCGGUGACCUUGGCCGAGUCACAUCACUCGCUCGUGCUUCGGUCUCCUCGUCUGUAAAGCGGGGAUCCGGUACCCGUUCUCCCUUCGCUCGGCCCCGCGAGCCCCAUGUGGGACGGGGACCGUGUCUGAUCUGAUUAACUUGUAU